rnacentral:rRNA from 1 species
UACGGGGGGGGCAAGCGUUGUUCGGAAUUACUGGGCGUAAAGGGCUCGUAGGCGGCCAACUAAGUCAGACGUGAAAUCCCUCGGCUUAACCGGGGAACUGCGUCUGAUACUGGAUGGCUUGAGUUUGGGAGAGGGAUGCGGAAUUCCAGGUGUAGCGGUGAAAUGCGUAGAUAUCUGGAGGAACACCGGUGGCGAAGGCGGCAUUCUGGACCAUAACUGACACUGAGAGACGAAAGCCAGGGGAGCAAACGGG